CUCAUCUUUCUCUCCCUCUUUUCUUCUCUUCUUCCCUCUCCCAUGUGACUCCCGGAUCUCUCUCCCUCUAUGAUCUCUCCCUCUCUUCCCAAGUUUGUCACUUACAUAAGCAACAACAACCCCAAACCAACAUUACUGGACGUAGGAACCUUGAGAAAACUCAAGCAAACCUUCAAGGAACCCCAAUAGUGACGGUGUCACUGUUCAUCGUCUUCUCCGACGUGUUUCUUGUUUUUCCGACGUUGGUAAGCUUAUAGAAACCCUUGGGUUAUCUUUUAGGGUUAGAUCGAAGGUUGUUUUAAGUGGUGCAUACGCGUCAACCGCAGAAAACUGCUCGGAGUAACUUUUCCAAAAUUUCCGACGAGUACUGUCCCUGUCGAGGAAAUUUCCAGCCAAACCACAGCGAUUUGGCUGUAUGCAGUUUCCAGCGACCUCCGAGGCUUUCGAGGUGUUUUUUGGCCAAACUAAGGCGAGUUAACGUCGUGCGAGGUACCAUUCUCUUUGUCUCAUCGAGAACCAUGAUCCUUAGGCCUGUUUAAACCCAACCCAAACCUUUUAUUUUUUUUAUUUUGUGUUAAAACCCAAAGGAAUAGGGUCAGGCCUUCAAGCCCAACCCAUUUGAGAACCUAAGUGAGACAGGCCUUUAGGCCAUUAAGCCAGCCUAAGACCCACGAGCUUUCAAGCCCAAACCUAAUAUAACCCAGCCCUAAAACCCAUUUUAAAUUUGAAACCCUUAACCGAUUAACCCAUUAUCCGAAGCCCAACCUACCUAAACCUAAACCUAAACCAAACCCAAGUCCAAACCCUAAGCCCUAAACCCAGUUGGAACCUUCCGAGGAAUAUUCUCUGGAAUAUUCUUGUGUUGACUUUUAUAAAACUUACUUGGGACUCUUCUUAGGAUAAUUCGACGUCCUGAAUUUGUUUCCAACUUCCAUUUUUCCAAAUUCAAUUGUUAUAAUAAAGUUUUAUUAAUUGUACCCUUUAUGUGCUUAAGGGCAAUUUAUUGUGGCGUUCUGUCUCGGCUAGUUUGUGUGGCUCUUCGGCAGCUAAGUAUAUGUGAGUGGACCCAUUCUAAAAUGCAUGUUUUAAUAGUAGAAAUGCAUACAUGAAAAUCAUUAUUUUAAUGAUUACGUUUUAUGAAACGUUUUAUGAGAUAACAUGCUUAUUGAGGUUACUUUGAAUUAUUACUAUUUUUCCUAUAACCCAUGUUCUUUAUAAAAUAUCUGAUGGAUGACAAUAUAAUAUUUAGAACACGUUUAUAACACCUCUUUAUAGUAUAGAUGAUGGAUGACUUUAUACUAUGAAGUUGCCUUUCAAAUAAAUGUAUAUUCAAUGGUUUUGUACUUACCUAGUGUCCCUAUUCCGUUACAGGGGUGAAGGAUAGAUUCCGUCCUGGGCGAUGGUUACAGUGUUGGCAUAGGGCCUGAAGGGUUUUUCCUCUGACAAUUAGCCCAGGGACGAGGAGCUGGCACGGGGCCUGAAGGUGAUUUUCCUCUAGCAAUUGGCAUAGAGACAGGGAUCUGGCAUGGGGCCUGGAGGGAUAUUGAACAUUCACUAGUGAUUACGAUGUAUACGAGAUAUAUUUUGAGACAUUGCACGACAUGCUAGGUUUCGGAAAACCUAUUUUUAUAAUGUUUAUGAGUUUUCAUAAAACUUGGGGAUUAGUAUGUUGAUAACUGUUUUGUUAUAUCUAUAUCAAUUUGGUCCACUCAUAUUUGUUUUGCGCCCCCUUCAAGACUUGGAAUCGAGGCAUACAAUUCCGGUGUUCAGGCACUUCUGCAUCGGCAUCUUCAAGUCCUCACGGUGUAGGACCCAUCCUCUUAUUCAUUCAAUUUUAUAUUAUUUCUUUUUAGUAUUGUAAUUAGUUGUAUACUUUGAACAAGUUCCUUAAAUGCAUAUUCAUUAUAUUUAAAUUUAUAAGUCUUAUUUAUUCCUUGUU